rnacentral:rRNA from 1 species
CCUACGGGUGGCAGCAGUGAGGAAUAUUGGUCAAUGGACGAGAGUCUGAACCAGCCAAGUCGCGUGAAGGAUGACUGCCCUCUGGGUUGUAAACUUCUUUUAUAUGGGAAUAAAAUGUUCCACGUGUGGGAUUUUGUAUGUACCAUAUGAAUAAGGAUCGGCUAACUCGGUGCCAGCAGCCGCGGUAAUCCGGAGGAUCCGAGCGUUAUCCGGAUUUAUUCGGUUUAAAGGGAGCGUAGGUGGAUUGUUAAGUCAGUUGUGAAAUUUUGCGGCUCAACCGUAAAAUUGCAGUUGAAACUGGCAGUCUGGAGUACAGUAGAGGUGGGCGGAAUUCGUGGUGUAGCGGUGAAAUGCUUAGAUAUCACGAAGAACUCCGAUUGCGAAGGCAGCUCACUGGACUGCAACUGACACUGAGGCUCGAAAGUGUGGGUAUCAAACAGGAUUAGAUACCCCUGUAGUC